AUGCAGGUCUAAGUCCAUGCCGCAUUAAGGUGAGACCGCGAAUGGCUCAUUAUAUCAGUUAUGGUUCCUUUGAUCUUCGGUUGCACGUGGAUAACCCUGGUAAUUCUAGAGCUAAUACAUGGGCAAGUGCACCAACCUUCGGGGAGGUGUGUUUUUAUUAGACCAAAACCAAUCGUUACCUUUGGUGACGAAUUGUUGGUGAGUCUGAAUAACUUUGGUCGGAUCGCAUGGUCUUUGUACCGGCGACGCAUCUUUCAAAUGUCUGCCUUAUCAACUUGUUGGUUGGUUAAAUGCCAACCAAGGUGGUUACGGGUAACGGAGAAUCAGGGUUCGAUACCGGAGAGGGAGCCUGAGAAACGGCUACCACA
rnacentral:rRNA from 10 species